rnacentral:misc_RNA from 1 species
AUGCGAUAAGUAAUGUGAAUUGCAGAAUUCAGUGAAUCAUCGAAUCUUUGAACGCACAUUGCGCCCGCCAGUAUUCUGGCGGGCAUGCCUGUUCGAGCGUCAUUUCAACCCUCAAGCCCUCGGGUUUGGUGUUGGGGAUCGGCGAGCCUUAUGGCAAGCCGGCCCCGAAAUCUAGUGGCGGUCUCACUGCAGCCUCCAUUGCGUAGUAGCUAACACCUCGCAACUGGAACGCGGUGCGGCCAAGCCGUUAAACCCCCAACUUCUGAAUGUUGACCUCGGAUCAGGUAGGAAUACCCGCUGAACUUAA